AUGGCUCAGGAGGGGACACAACCUAUANUNUGCUUCCCGGAUGUUAGCGGCGGACGGGUGAGUAACACGUGGGUAACCUGCCUGUAAGACUGGGAUAACUCCGGGAAACCGGAGCUAAUACCGGAUAGUUCCUUGAACCGCAUGGUUCAAGGAUGAAAGACGGUUUCGGCUGUCACUUACAGAUGGACCCGCGGCGCAUUAGCUAGUUGGUGGGGUAAUGGCUCACCAAGGCGACGAUGCGUAGCCGACCUGAGAGGGUGAUCGGCCACACUGGGACUGAGACACGGCCCAGACUCCUACGGGAGGCAGCAGUAGGGAAUCUUCCGCAAUGGACGAAAGUCUGACGGAGCAACGCCGCGUGAGUGAUGAAGGUUUUCGGAUCGUAAAGCUCUGUUGUUAGGGAAGAACAAGUGCGAGAGUAACUGCUCGCACCUUGACGGUACCUAACCAGAAAGCCACGGCUAACUACGUGCCAGCAGCCCGCGGUAAUACGUAGGUGGCAAGCGUUGUCCGGAAUUAUUGGGCGUAAAGGGCUCGCAGGCGGUUUCUUAAAGUCUGAUGUGAAAGCCCCCGGCUCACCCGGCGGAGGGGGCAUUG
rnacentral:rRNA from 1 species